rnacentral:rRNA from 1 species
GCAGUAAUGCGUUAAGCUAACCAGUACUAAUUGCCCGUACGGCUUGAUCCUAUAACCUU